rnacentral:lncRNA from 1 species
AAGUAACCCACAGAAGGUGACAGGUCAGAAUCAGAAUUUUACAAACAUUUUUCUAAACACAGUUACAGAUUAAAAGAAAGAGUUGCCCUCCCAGAGACAAGUUAGACUACCCUCUGAAGAGUGCUGUCAAACCAAUACUGUGCCAGGCCACAGGAGAGACAUCCUGGUGAAUGCUGGAACUUGCUAUUGCUAUCAUGGUUUACAAGCAUGACAGAUAGCCUAGACACUAUGGAUGGAAGCUUGGAAUAUCAUCGGAUAGAGUGGCACCAUCAGAGGAAUUCCUGGUAUUACCAAAUGAAGUAGGCAUGGGAACAGUUUUUGUGACAAAUAUUUUGGAUGUCUUCACUCUAUCCCUCACCCACUGUAGGGAAGUGAAGGCAUGAGAAUUUGAACAGAAGAGACACCCUACUA